rnacentral:rRNA from 1 species
UACGUAGGGGGCAAGCGUUAUCCGGAUUUACUGGGUGUAAAGGGGGCGCAGACGGCAAUGCAAGCCAGGAGUGAAAGCCCGGGGCCCAACCCCGGGACUGCUCUUGGAACUGCAUGGCUGGAGUACAGGAGGGGUAGGCGGAAUUCCUAGUGUAGCGGUGAAAUGCGUAGAUAUUAGGAGGAACACCAGUGGCGAAGGCGGCCUACUGGACGGUGACUGACGCUGAGGCUCGAAAGCGUGGGGAGCAAACAGG